UACGAAGGGGCGAGCGUUAUUCGGAAUCACUGGGCGUAAAGCGUGCGUAGGCGUGUCUAGCAAGUUGGAAGUGAAAGCCCAGGGCUCAACCCUGGAAUUGCUUUCAAAACUGCAAGACGUAGAGGUCCGGGAGAGGAUAGCGGAAUUUCCAAGUGUAGUAGUGAAAUACGUAGAUAUUGGAAGGAACACCAGUGGCGCAAGCGGCUAUCUGGACCGGUACUGGACGCUGAAGGCGCGACAGCGUGGGGAGCAAACAGG
rnacentral:rRNA from 1 species